UGCAGUCGACGAUGAACCACUUCGGUGGGGAUUAGUGGCGAACGGGUGAGUAACACGUGGGCAAUCUGCCCUUCACUCUGGGACAAGCCCUGGAAACGGGGUCUAAUACCGGAUGACACUCCUACAGGCAUCUGUGGGGGUUGAAAGCUCCGGCGGUGAAGGAUGAGCCCGCGGCCUAUCAGCUUGUUGGUGAGGUAGUGGCUCACCAAGGCGACGACGGGUAGCCGGCCUGAGAGGGCGACCGGCCACACUGGGACUGAGACACGGCCCAGACUCCUACGGGAGGCAGCAGUGGGGAAUAUUGCACAAUGGGCGAAAGCCUGAUGCAGCGACGCCGCGUGAGGGAUGACGGCCUUCGGGUUGUAAACCUCUUUCAGCAGGGAAGAAGCGAAAGUGACGGUACCUGCAGAAGAAGCGCCGGCUAACUACGUGCCAGCAGCCGCGGUAAUACGUAGGGCGCAAGCGUUGUCCGGAAUUAUUGGGCGUAAAGAGCUCGUAGGCGGUCUGUCGCGUCGGAUGUGAAAGCCCGGGGCUUAACCCCGGGUCUGCAUUCGAUACGGGCAGACUAGAGUGUGGUAGGGGAGAUCGGGAAUUCCUGGUGUAGCGG
rnacentral:rRNA from 1 species